GCGGUCCUGGCAGUAGCGGCGUUGGCCGGCUCCCGCGGCGGCUUUGGGGUUCCCGGGGGUCCCCGGGAAGAGGUGCACAUUGGCAGAUGUGCAUGAGGAGGUGCCUGGUCGGCCUCACGUUUUGUACCUGCUACCUGGCUUCUUACCUCACGAACAAGUAUGUCCUGUCUGUCUUGAAAUUUACCUACCCUACAUUAUUCCAAGGGUGGCAGACCUUAAUUGGUGGAAUCUUGCUUCAUGCGUCAUGGAAACUGGGCUGGGCGGAAAUCAACAGCAGUUCAAGAUCUGAUGUUUUGACAUGGCUUCCUGCCUCAUUGCUGUUUGUGGGUAUCAUCUAUGCUGGUUCCAGAGCCCUGUCGAGACUGGCCAUUCCCGUGUUUCUCACUUUGCAUAACGUAGCCGAAGUUAUCAUCUGUGGGCACCAGAAGUGUUUUCGGAAAGAGAAAACUUCAUCUGCAAAGAUCUGUAGCGCCCUCUUCCUCCUGGCCGCCGCAGGGUGCCUGCCCUUCAAUGACUCUCAGUAUGACCCAGAUGGAUAUUUCUGGGCAGUAAUUCACUUUUUCUGUGUAGGGGCUUAUAAGAUACUACAGAAAUCCCAGAAACCCACCACCUUAAGUGACAUUGACCAGCAGUACUUAAACUAUCUAUUCAGUGUGGUGUUCCUGGCAUUGGCAUCUCACCCCACAGGUGAUCUCCUCAGCGUCCUGGACUUCCCGUUCCUGUCUUUCUACAGAUUCCACGGCAGCUGCUGUGCCAGUGGAUUUUUGGGAUUCUUUCUCAUGUUCAGCACAGUGAAGCUAAAAAGCCUGAUGGCCCCAGGGCAGUGUGCGGCCUGGAUUUUCUGUGCUAAGGUGAUCACAGCUGCUUUAUCGAUAUUGCUGUUUGAUACCAUCCUGACCAGGGGCACCGUGGGAUGAUCCCGCCCAUCGGCGAGCUGACCACGUUCAGACUUCCACCUGCUCCGGCUUGCUAAUAUUCCAGCCGACUGAUGUGAUCAUCACCAGGGGUUGUGGUCAUCAUCUUCAGGGAAGGCGAAGGCAAGGUGGGGAGAGACGCCUACUGCUGGGUGGACUUGGAGAGGCCUUGCUGGUGUUUUCAGAGCAGAGAGGCUCCUGAACACGGAAGAGGACUCCUCGGCUGCAGCUGGAGGGCACAGCCCUGGGCUUCGGAGUGCCCCAUCGGGGCAGUAGAAAGAAGAAAAGCAAGGACAGUGAGGCCCUGCUGCUCACUGCGUCAAGAACUCUUUCUGGGCGUCUCUGGGCUACUGCAGAGACUGGACUGUGUCGAGAGGCUCCCCCAGUCCUGCUGCCCUUGCUGCGCCCAGUUGUGCAGAAACAGAUGCAGGCUUUCGCCCGCCUGGGGAUGGCCCCACCCACCCCGAUUACUGGCCAGGCCUUCGCCCAACAAGCUACCUGGUAGUGAGCCCAAAGGUAUUGUGUUGCAUUUUGGGUUUUGGUUUGGGACUUUAUGUCCUUGGAGACUCCUCUGGGGCCGUCCUUUUCUUGCUGUCAUGCUGGCUUGGCUAGAACCCCCACACUCACCCCCUUAGGGGUACAGAGAGAAUUCCUCAAGGGGGCUUCCACUGGGGGGUGGUGGGGGUGGGGGUAAAUGGGCGUAAAUGGGAGUUCUGGGCCAAGUAAGAUGUUGGCAUGGACUGUUUCUCCUGAGUGAGUGCUGGAGCCGUUUUGUGGUUGUGUGUUGGGUCGGAUUCUGCACACCCUUUUUUGCCUACCAUGAGGUUGACUUGGUACUCAUGAUUGCCAGAGGGAAUAGGAUUAGUAAGUUCUGAUGAAUGAAACAGACACAAAUAUGUAAACAUACACAUAUGUACAGUCAUAAUCCACUCAAUCCCCUGCUGUCUCAGAGGAGGUUUCAAAUCAUGGAACACUGAAAUAUGUUUUUUCAGGCCAGAUUAAAAAUUGGAUCAAAACUCUACACUUCGCCUUGAGGGGAGUCAAGAGAAAUGAAUUGGCACGAAAUGGUCAUUUGUUCUGAACCCGCAGUGGAGGUUUAAGAAAAGAAUGUUUAGCUCCAAAUGGCCCUGCUUAUAAUAAGUUUUCUGAAUACCUUACUACUCUGCAGGUGUCAGUUUUGGUCAUUUUGAGACGUAGAAGGUAAUGAGGUCCAAGGAGUCUUGUGCAGGGAGGCCCCAGGCCCCACCGUGUUGGACACCCGUAUGGGUGAUGAAGGACCUUCUCCAGCAUCUGGGGAACAAGGCUUGUCCAUUCUCAGCCCUGUGAAGACGAAGGUCAACUCAGUCAGGCCAUUCUUCCUGCAGGUUUUCUCAAGUUGUUGAAAAAAGCAGAAAAUGAAUGGAUCCGUAUAUUUGGACUUUGAGUACCUUAAAUUCAUUUCCUUGUCUUUUCCUGGUCUCUGCUUGUCAUUUAAGGUAAAAAUGUUCAGAAUGACCUUUCUACAUAUCACUUUGCUUUUUUUCCUAGUCUGAGAUGUCUCACGUUCUCCUGAGGAUCAAACAGAAAAUCUGGGUUUAAAAUUUUCCUUGUUCUUUUGUUCCCACAAAACCCUGUCUGUACAACUGAGGCCAGUUCUCUGUUUACGGAAAGUGGCAUCUGUUCAAAAUGUCAUGUUAUGUGUCUUUUCCGAACGUCAUUGAGCAACUGGAGGUUCCUAAGACUGGAAAGAGCCAUGCGCCGUUAACAAGCCCCAUCCCCUAUUCCAGCAGGACUGACCUCUAAACUUUUGCUGUAAAGUUUUAGACCUUUUUUUUUAGGGGCCACACCUGUAGCAUAUGCAGGUUCCCAGACGAGGGGGCGAUUCUGAGCUGCAGCU